GGUUGUUUGGCCGAGCGGUCUAAGGCGCCUGAUUCAAGAAUCCUCAGUUCGAUUCUUGUGUGUAGCAACACUACGCACCAUGGAAUUCUCAGGUAUCGUAAGAUGCAAGAGUUCGAAUCUCUUAGCAACCA
rfam:Torulaspora delbrueckii CBS 1146 chromosome 6, complete genome